UUAAAGGGGAAGUUUGAAGAAGUCAACGGCUCCUCACCCUGCUCUUCAGUGCAGGAAUCAGAUGAUGAAGUUUUCAGCUGUGACAGUGCUGAGAGUGUUGAUAGUGUCAAUCGUUCACUUUUAAUGAUUUUACCAGAAAAAAUGAGGAAAUAUCAACAGACUGAAAAUAUGUUUUCAGAGGCAUAGAAUCUUCAGGAAAAUACUGGAGUUCCUGAGAUCUCAAGAUGAAGAGUCACUUAGCUUGCAGACUGCCAUCUCCCUAACAUAUCAGAACAAUGAACUUGGUUCCAAGACUAUAGAACUCAGUGACUGUAAAAUGGAUAAAUGUAUGAAUUAAUGCAUAAAUCAAUAGAUGAACCCAGAUGAAUAAUAUGCCAAAGUUGUUU